rnacentral:rRNA from 1 species
UACGUAGGGUGCAAGCGUUGUCCGGAAUUAUUGGGCGUAAAGAGCUCGUAGGCGGUCUGUCGCGUCGGCUGUGAAAACCUGGGGCUCAACUCCGGGCCUGCAGCCGAUACGGGCAGACUAGAAUUCGGUAGGGGAGACUGGAAUUCCCGGUGUAGCGGUGAAAUGCGCAGAUAUCGGGAGGAACACCAGUGGCGAAGGCGGCUCACUGGCCCGAUACUGACGCUGAGGCACGAAAGCGUGGGGAGCAAACAGG